rnacentral:rRNA from 1 species
CCUACGGGUGACAGCAGUGAGGAAUAUUGGUCAAUGGACGCAAGUCUGAACCAGCCAUGCCGCGUGCAGGAUGACUGCUCUAUGAGUUGUAAACUGCUUUUAUACGAGGAUAAACGCAGAUACGUGUAUCUUUCUGCAAGUAUCUUACGAAUAAGGAUCGGCUAACUCCGUGCCAGCAGCCGCGGUAAUACGGAGGAUCCAAGCGUUAUCCGGAUUUAUUGGGUUUAAAGGGUGCGUAGGCGGGUGGAUAAGUUAGUGGUGAAAGCCCGAGGCUCAACGUCGGAAUUGCCAUUGAUACUGGUAGGCUAGAGAAUAGUUGAGGUAGGCGGAAUGUGUGGUGUAGCGGUGAAAUGCUUAGAGAUCAUACAGAACCCCGAUUGCGAAGGCAGCUUACUAAGCUACUUCUGACGUUGAGGCACGAAAGCGUGGGGAGCAAACAGGAUUAGAUACCCUAGUAGUC